rnacentral:rRNA from 1 species
UCGAGGAUCAUUCGCAAUGGGCGAAAGCCUGACGAUGCGACGCCGUGUGAGCGAAGAAGGCCUUCGGGUUGUAAAGCUCUUUCGCUUGGGAACAAGAAAUAGUUAUAAACAAUAACUAAAUUUGAGGGUACCAGGUAAAGAAGCACCGGCUAACUCCGUGCCAGCAGCUGCGGUAAUACGGAGGGUGCAAGCAUUAAUCGGAUUUAUUGGGCGUAAAGGGCGCGUAGGCGGUUAUAUAAGUCAGAUGUGAAAUUCCGAGGCUCAACUUCGGAGCUGCAUUUGAAACUGCAUAACUAGAGGAUAGGCGGAGAAAAUGGAAUUCCACGUGUAGCGGUGAAAUGCGUAGAUAUGUGGAAGAACACCGGUGGCGAAGGCGGUUUUCUAGCUUAUUCCUGACGCUAAGGCGCGAAAGCAAGGGGAGCAAACAGGAUUAGAUACCCGUGUAGUCC